rnacentral:rRNA from 1 species
AACUGCGAAUACCGGAGAAUGUUAUCACGGGAGACACACGGCGGGUGCUAACGUCCGUCGUGAAGAGGGAAACAACCCAGACCGCCAGCUAAGGUCCCAAAGUCAUGGUUAAGUGGGAAACGAUGUGGGAAGGCCCAGACAGCCAGGAUGUUGGCUUAGAAGCAGCCAUCAUUUAAAGAAAGCGUAAUAGCUCACUGGUCGAGUCGGCCUGCGCGGAAGAUGUAACGGGGCUAAACCAUGCACCGAAGCUGCGGCAGCGACGCUGAUGCGUUGUUGGGUAGGGGAGCGUUCUGUAAGCCUGUGAAGGUGUGCUGUGAGGCAUGCUGGAGGUAUCAGAAGUGCGAAUGCUGACAUAAGUAACGAUAAAGCGGGUGAAAAGCCCGCUCGCCGGAAGACCAAGGGUUCCUGUCCAACGUUAAUCGGGGCAGGGUGAGUCGACCCCUAAGGCGAGGCCGAAAGGCGUAGUCGAUGGGAAACAGGUUAAUAUUCCUGUACUUGGUGUUACUGCGAAGGGGGGACGGAGAAGGCUAUGUUGGCCGGGCGACGGUUGUCCCGGUUUAAGCGUGUAGGCUGGU